rnacentral:misc_RNA from 1 species
GAUGAAGAACGUAGCAAAAUGCGAUAAGUAAUGUGAAUUGCAGAAUUCAGUGAAUCAUCGAAUCUUUGAACGCACAUUGCGCCCGCCAGUAUUCUGGCGGGCAUUCCUGUUCGAGCGUCAUUUCAACCCUCAAGCCCUCGGGUUUGGUGUUGGGGAUCGGCGAGCCUUUCUGGCAAGCCGGCCCCGAAAUCUAGUGGCGGUCUCGCUGCAGCCUCCAUUGCGUAGUAGUAAAACCCUCGCAACUGGAACGCGGCGCGGCCAAGCCGUUAAACCCCCAACUUCUGAAUGUUGACCUCGGAUCAGGUAGGAAUACCCGCUGAACUUAAGCAUAUCAAUAAGCGGAGGA